UACGAGAUUGAAAUAAAAAUCGCAUUUUACAUACCUUUUCUCGACACCUACAUUUCUCAUCUUCAGAGUCGAUUCCAAAAACACAAAACAGUUUUUCAAAGUUUUGGACAGCUAUUCCUCAAACAAGGAUUCGACGAGAAGAAAUGUGCAAGCCUCUACCAAUUUAACCAAGUAAUACUGGAUUGUUCCGAGAGUAAUUUCAUUUCAUAAGUCAAAAUGUGGAGACAACGGAUCUGCAAUCAAAACAUCGAAAAUGCACUUGAUGCAUUAGCAAGUCGAUUCCAAAAACCCAAAACAGUUUUUCAAAGUUUUGGACAGCUAUUCCUCAAACAAGGAUUCGACGAGAAGAAAUGUGCAAGCCUCUACCAAUUUAACCAAGUAAUACUGGAUUGUUCCGAGAGUAAUUUCAUUUCAUAAGUCAAAAUGUGGAGACAACGGAUCUGCAAUCAAAACAUCGAAAAUGCACUUGAUGCAUUAGCAAGUCGAUUCCAAAAACACAAAACAGUUUUUCAAAGUUUUGGACAGCUAUUCCUCAAACAAGGAUUCGACGAGAGGAAAUGUGCAAGCCUCUACCAAUUUAACCAAGUAAUACUGGAUUGUUCCGAGAGUAAUUUCAUUUCAUAAGUCAAAAUGUGGAGACAACGGAUCUGCAAUCAAAACAUCGAAAAUGCACUUGAUGCAUUAGCAAGUCGAUUCCAAAAACCCAAAACAGUUUUUCAAAGUUUUGGACAGCUAUUCCUCAAACAAGGAUUCGACGAGAAGAAAUGUGCAAGCCUCUACCAAUUUAACCAAGUAAUACUGGAUUGUUCCGAGAGUAAUUUCAUUUCAUAAGUCAAAAUGUGGAGACAACGGAUCUGCAAUCAAAACAUCGAAAAUGCACUUGAUGCAUUAGCAAGUCGAUUCCAAAAACCCAAAACAGUUUUUCAAAGUUUUGGACAGCUAUUCCUCAAACAAGGAUUCGACGAGAAGAAAUGUGCAAGCCUCUACCAAUUUAACCAAGUAAUACUGGAUUGUUCCGAGAGUAAUUUCAUUUCAUAAGUCAAAAUGUGGAGACAACGGAUCUGCAAUCAAAACAUCGAAAAUGCACUUGAUGCAUUAGCAAGUCGAUUCCAAAAACCCAAAACAGUUUUUCAAAGUUUUGGACAGCUAUUCCUCAAACAAGGAUUCGACGAGAAGAAAUGUGCAAGCCUCUACCAAUUUAACCAAGUAAUACUGGAUUGUUCCGAGAGUAAUUUCAUUUCAUAAGUCAAAAUGUGGAGACAACGGAUCUGCAAUCAAAACAUCGAAAAUGCACUUGAUGCAUUAGCAAGUCGAUUCCAAAAACCCAAAACAGUUUUUCAAAGUUUUGGACAGCUAUUCCUCAAACAAGGAUUCGACGAGAAGAAAUGUGCAAGCCUCUACCAAUUUAACCAAGUAAUACUGGAUUGUUCCGAGAGUAAUUUCAUUUCAUAAGUCAAAAUGUGGAGACAACGGAUCUGCAAUCAAAACAUCGAAAAUGCACUUGAUGCAUUAGCAAUCAUAAAUGGAAUAACUUGCAAAA